rnacentral:tRNA from 1 species
GCCUGGCUGGCUCAGUCGGUGGAGCGUGUGACUCCUGAUCUUGGGGUUGUGAGUUCAAGCCCCAUGUUGGGUG